GACGAACGCUGGCGGCGUGCUUAACACAUGCAAGUCGAACGAUGAUGCUGGAGCUUGCUCCAGUUGAUUAGUGGCGAACGGGUGAGUAACACGUGAGCAAUCUGCCCUUGACUCUGGGAUAACUGCGGGAAACUGUAGCUAAUACCGGAUACUUUCACCGGGGGGCAUCCUCUGGCGAUGAAAGAAUUUCGGUCAAGGAUGAGCUCGCGGCCUAUCAGCUUGUUGGUGAGGUAACGGCUCACCAAGGCGACGACGGGUAACCGGCCUGAGAGGAUAACCGGUCACACUGGGACUGAGACACGGCCCAGACUCCUACGGGAGGCAGCAGUGGGGAAUAUUGCACAAUGGGCGCAAGCCUGAUGCAGCAACGCCGCGUGAGGGAUGUAGGCCUUCGGGUUGUAAACCUCUUUUAGCAGGGAAGAAGCGAAAGUGACGGUGCCUGCAGAAAAAGCACCGGCUAACUACGUGCCAGCAGCCGCCGUAA
rnacentral:rRNA from 1 species